GAUCACGAUGUUACUUAUGGCGAAGGCCGAAUAAUGGAAGCUAAAAGUCUCGUAGUCAUUCUUCUUGUUUCGUGCGUUUUCGUCUCAGUCUGCCUGCAACCAGCCUCCUCGCAAGGACUUCGAUGGGGAAGAGAAUUUAAAGAAGAAAAUCCCAAGAUAGAGCGAGUUAAAGCAGAUUAUCUCAGGAAAAAGCAAAUGCGAGAAUCCUUUGAUGACGCAACGGAAAAGGACUUUGAUUUUAACAGACGUUAAAGCUCUCAUGGAAUAUCACCACAAAACGAAAAGGACUGAAAAAAAUGAUUAGAUCUUAAUUUGAAUGAACUGUUAUACGUUCUUGUAACAAUGUUUGCUUUUAUAUACUGAUUUACUAGUGCAGAAAAUAGUUGAAUGAAAGUUGUGAAAUAAAUUGUAACGAAAUGUGACGCAAUAAAACGCAUAUGGUGAUGUCCCGAAAAAAAUGCGCAGGACAAAAAAAAAAA
rnacentral:lncRNA from 1 species